rnacentral:rRNA from 1 species
GACGAACGCUGGCGGCGUGCCUAAUACAUGCAAGUCGAGCGGACCGGAUUGGGGCUUGCCUCGAUUCGGUCAGCGGCGGACGGGUGAGUAACACGUGGGCAACCUGCCCGCAAGACCGGGAUAACUCCGGGAAACCGGAGCUAAUACCGGAUAACACCGAAGACCGCAUGGUCUUCGGUUGAAAGGCGGCCUUUGGGCUGUCCCUUGCGGAUGGGCCCGCGGCGCAUUAGCUAGUUGGGGAGGUAACGGCUCACCAAGGCGACGAUGCGUAGCCGGCCUGAGAGGGUGACCGGCCACACUGGGACUGAGACACGGCCCAGACUCCUACGGGAGGCAGCAGUAGGGAAUCUUCCGCAAUAGGCGAAAGCCUGACGGAGCGACGCCGCGUGAGCGAAGAAGGCCUCCGGGUCGUAAAGCUCUGUUGUGAGGGACGAAGGAGCGCCGUUCGAAGAGGGCGGCGCGGUGACGGUACCUCACGAGAAAGCCCCGGCUAACUACGUGCCAGCCGCCGCCGUAA